rnacentral:lncRNA from 1 species
AUGAUUAGUCAAUUAAAGGAUAAGUUCAGUUCAUCCAAAACAGGCAGUAAGGAAGACCAGUCAUCUCAAACAUCAAAAGAUAGUGUUCAGAAUGGUAUGUUGAACUGGAUCUCCAACGGUUUUGCCAGCGCACUGCCUCUGCCCGGGAGUCCACUUCUUACGAGAGCCAACUCUGAUGCAAAAGAUGAAGGGUCUGUAGACAGGUCUGGAGUUAUUGGCUGGAUCACACAGGGAAUUGGAGAAGUGGUCCCACAGCCUGAUGAGAAAUACAUACAGGACAAGAGUCCAGAAUCUGAAGAAGUCACAGAGGUUUAUGAGGCAAAGGACCUCCCAGAUCAGGAGGCUUUGCCACAUAUACCAGUAGUAGAACUGAUGUCAGAAGACGAGGCAUCUGAAGUGGAACCAACCGCUAAGUUCCCUCCUAAUGUAAUGAGCUGGAUAAAGAGCGGCUUCCAGAACGCUGUUCCGCACCAUGUGACCAGACCCCCAAGUUCCAGUUCUUCCACGCCGAGGUCAUCACAGUGCUCAAACAAAGUUUAUUCACCUCCUCCAGAGUCAGAAACCAGCGUGACAGAGAUCGAUUCAAAAACUCCAAGGUGAGUCACGUCAAAUUUGAUGAACUCUUUUGCAAAAUUGGCAUGGAUGUCCGCUUGAUGUUCCCUCUUGUUUCCAGUAUGAUGGGUUGGAUUGUUCAGGGUCUGGGUCUUUCAAUGCCACAACCGGGGCUUAAAAACAAAUAAGGGUGUUUGGUAAGUGAGGUGCAAUUAGUUCAAGUUUAAUAGACGUUUCUCCAAAAUGACUCCUUUUCUUUCCACCAGGAGGAUGAGAAGAUUGUGCAAAAUG